UGCAUGAAGUCGGAAUUGCUAGUAAUCGCGGAUCAGCAUGCCGCGGUGAAUACGUUCCCGGGCCUUGUACACACCGCCCGUCACACCAUGGGAGCCGGUAAUACCCGAAGUCAGUAGUCCAACCACGUGAGGACGCUGCCGAAGGUAGGAUUGGCGACUGGGUGAAGUCGUAACAAGGUAUC
rnacentral:rRNA from 1 species